AGAGAGAGACAUGCGUGCAUAUCAAUAAGCGGAGGAAAAGAAACUAACAAGGAUUCCCCUAGUAACGGCGAGUGAAGCGGGAAGAGCUCAAAUUUGAAAUCUUAAAGGGUUUCCCUUUACGAAUUGUAGUUUAAAGAAGUGUUUUCUGUUGAGGUUUUGGUAAAAGUUCUUUGGAAUAGGACAUCAUAGAGGGUGAGAAUCCCGUAUUUGACCUUUACUUUCAACUUUGUGAUACACUUUCAAAGAGUCGGAUUGUUUGGGAAUGCAGUCCAAAAUGGGUGGUAAAUUUCAUCUAAAGCUAAAUAUUGGCGAGAGACCGAUAGCGAACAAGUACCGUGAGGGAAAGAUGAAAAGAACUUUGAAAAGAGAGUUAAACAGUACGUGAAAUUGUCAAAAGGGAAGCGUUUGACACCAGUGUUGUUUUUCUGAAAAUCAAUUAAAGAACUGUUUAUGCUAAGUUGUUUAGACUUUAUCAGCUAACUGUUUAGUUUUGAGCUUUUCUUUAUUGCACUUUUCAGUUAACAAGUCAACAUCAAUUUCUUUUGCUGUAAAAAAGCUUGAGGAAGGUGGCUUGAGAUUCGUCUUAAGUGUUUAUAGCCUCUUGCCUAUGCAGUCGGAGAGAUUGAGGUCUGCAGCGUAGAUCCUUCGGGGCUAAAUGCAUUUGUGCUAAGUUAUAGCAUUUUAUAGACAACUUGUUGACUAUGAUUUGUCUUGUAGCUUACUCGCUUAUGUUAUUUUACCUACGCUUAGGAUGUUGAGCGCAUGUCUCUCUCU
rnacentral:rRNA from 1 species